GACGAACGCUGGCGGCGUGCUUAACACAUGCAAGUCGAGCGGAGCGGCGAACGGGUGAGUAACGCGUGAGUAACUGCCCCCCUCUCUGGGAUAACAGUUGGAAACGGCUGCUACUACCGGAUAGUGGGGGAUGACUCGCGUCCUCUCAGCGUGUUGGUGGGGUAGUGGCCUACCAAGGCGACGACGGGUAGACGGCCUGGGAGGGCAACCGGCCAAAUUGGGAUGAGAUACGGCCCGAACUCCUACGGGAGGCAGCAGUGGGGAAUAGUGCACAAUGGAGGAAACCCUGAUGCAGAAACGCGCGUGCGGGAUGACGGCCUUCGGGUUGUAAACCGCUUUCAGCCAUGACGCGGUAGUGGCAGAAGAAGCACCGGCUAACUACGUGCCAGCAGCCGCGGUAAUUC
rnacentral:rRNA from 1 species